rnacentral:rRNA from 1 species
CCUACGGGAGGCAGCAGUGGGGAAUCUUGCGCAAUGCGCGAAAGCGUGACGCAGCAACGCCGCGUGAGGGAAGACGGCCUUCGGGUUGUAAACCUCUUUCAGUUGGGACGAAGCCACGGCGGUUAAUACCCGUCUGUGGUGACGGUACCUUCAGAAGAAGCCCCGGCUAACUACGUGCCAGCAGCCGCGGUAAUACGUAGGGGGCAAGCGUUGUCCGGAAUCAUUGGGCGUAAAGCGCGUGUAGGCGGCUUGGUAAGUCCGCUCUGAAAGCCCGGGGCUCAACCCCGGGAGGCGGGUGGAUACUGUCAAGCUCGAGUCCGGAAGAGGCGAGUGGAAUUCCUGGUGUAGCGGUGAAAUGCGCAGAUAUCAGGAGGAACACCAAUGGCGAAGGCAGCUCGCUGGGACGUGACUGACGCUGAGACGCGAAAGCGUGGGGAGCAAACAGGAUUAGGAUACCCUAGGUAGUCCACGCCGUAAACGAUGGGCACUAGGUGUGGGAGGUGUCGACUCCUCCCGUGCCGAAGCUAACGCAUUAAGNGCCCCGCUGGGGAGUACGGCCGCAGGCUAAAACGUCAAAUGAAUUGACGG